rnacentral:lncRNA from 1 species
AUUGUAUCAGUAUCCAGCCCUGGAUGGCACGUCUGGUCUCUGCAUUCAUCGUGGGCAAGGUCUCUCCUGCAGGCGGUGACCUUUAGCAGAGCUGGGCUGGAGGUUGUCAUCCAAACAAAUGAGAGCUGACCUGGAACGUCUUUUUAACUCAGCAUCUCAUGUCCCGAGCCUCUGAAAGCGGCUGCAAGAGCAGCCAAGCCAAAGGAGCCGGGUCCCUUGUAUGCUGCAGCCAAGAGUGCAAAUGGGGCCUUGCCAUCUUCCUUUGCUUCUCCAGCGUCCUCCCUGAUGCCUUCUCGGGGCAGCACAUACAGGUCUGAACUUGGAGGGCCGCAACUUGAUCCGCUCUUGUCCACAUUUGGUGUAUAAACAUCUCUGUAGACUGUUUUCAAGAGACUACUCUCAGAUCUUCCUUCACACUGAGGUGUUGACGACUGGUUACUCUCUAACACAGCUAUUCUCAUCAGACUGUGAGGCAGCCCGGUGUUUCACUGGUUCGAAUCCUGGGCGCGGACAUGGCACUGCUCAUCAAACCACGCUGAGGCAGCGUCCCACAUACCACAACUAGAAGGACCCACAAUGAAGAAUAUACAACUAUGUACCGGGGGGCUUUGUACCCGGGGGCUUUGGGGAGAAAAAGGAAAAAAUAAAAUCUUAAAAAAAAAAAAGUGUCUUACCUUACUGUGUAAAAUGCUUUUAUGAAUACCUUAUGUACUUUAGAAAUAUUUUCAGUAGUUUUUGCCUUAUCUCUUUGCGCACUUCCCAGAAGUUAUUUUGCUUGUUAAAUGUAACAAAACUGAGUUCUCUGAUAGGAGUUAAGUCUCUGUCAUUCAAAGUGAGGAAAAAGUUUGAGAAACAAAAAUUUGAGAAUUGAGACUCUUAGCUAAUGUUCCCAAUGUCUACACACACACACACACACACACACACACACACACACACACACACGAUUCAGAAGCUUAAACUACAGGAAGGAGAUCCCAAAGAGUAAAAUUGAGGCAAUAGCCGAGAGGUUGACCUUCUGAAACGACACUUAGUGGGCAAUCCCCACCCCUCGUCCACUUGUAGAGUCAGUCCUGCUGUGCCCUCUAUGUUUUUGUGUUCCAUGUGUCAUUUCUGAUUAUUGGAAGGAACGUGGAGUUGGGACCAUUAUUGGGAGCCAGUGACCAGAAGUGCUGCUUGUACAAGUUGAGUAGAAUAUAGACAAUCCCUCCCUCCCCAGCCUGCUCAUCCUUUUCUUCCCCCUGCCAUCAAAGAGGAGGAUAAUUGAGAUCUCCCUGGCUCACAGGAGACAUCAAGUAUUCACCUCAGGGUCCCUUCCAGGGGACUCAUUGAGUUGGGAUUUCUGUUUCUGGUACCCAAGCAGUUUUCCCAGAAACAAAAGGUUUUCAGUCCUUUUAAAUUCAUCUAAGGACAUGAACUACGCAGAGCAGUCAGGAUAUAAGCCAUGUGAGCAACAAAUAACAAAGUACUAAUUGCAUCUAGCGGGCAUAGAGUUUCAGUGACUUCAUGUUGGCUAAAUUUAGGCGAACACUUGGUGUGUUGUGCAUGCCAGGGAGAACCAUGAUGCAAUUAUCCUCCCCCUUGCUGGAAGGGGGAGGACCAGGGUCAGAAGGCAAGAAUGAGAUUGCUUAAUAAACGGUCACUUGUAAUGGGCACCAACUCCACUUUUGUCCAGGGUUUGUACACACGCACACACACACAACACAGCACACACACAACACAGCAAAGCAAACAUUGCUUCACAGCUUUAGAGCAACAUAAAUACUCAGCUUCUGACCAGGAUUAAAAAUACUUGCUUUUAUUUUUUAAUUUAAUUGUUUUAAUUUAAUUAUUUUUUAAUUUAAUUCUUUCAAUUUUCUUUUUAAUCUUUACUACAUAAGAAAUUCACAUCUAUCAUAGAAAAUUUAGAAAUAAAAAUAACUACUAAUUCUUAUUGAGCAGUUAACAGAUGCCAGGAACUCCCUGCUGUGGUGACUUUACAUUAUCCACUCAUUUAAUCCUCACAAUAACUCUCUGAGCUAGGUACCAUCAUUAUCCCUGUUCUACAACUGGAAAAGAACAAGGGAUGGGUUCAGUAACUUGCUCAAGCUCACCUAGUUAGAAAAGUGAAGACUGGGUAUAAAACUCAAAUUUGCCUGAUAUCAAAUUUCAUGCUCUUAAACUCUAGACUAGUGUUGUUCAGUAGAAAUAUACUGUGAGCCACAUAUAUAAUUUAAAAUUUUCUAGUAGCCACAUUAAAAGAAGUAAAAAGAACAAGUGAGAUUAAUUUUGAUAAUGCUCUAUUUAACGCAAUAUAUCCAAAAUAUUAUCUCAACAUUUCAUCAAUACAAAAAUAACUAAUAAGUGCUUCAGUCUUCUUUUCAUACUAAGUCUUAAAACUCCAGUAUGUAUUUUACACUUACAGCACAUCUCAGUUAGGACUAGCCACAGUGUAAGUACUCAGUAGGUACAUGUGUCCAAUAGCUACCAUAUUGGACGGCGCAAAUAUAGAAAAUUUCCACCAUCAUAGACAGUUCCAAAGGACAGUGUUGCUCUAGAUUAUGCUGAUAGCCAAAAGGAAGAAUGUCACCUAUAAACUCCCCAUCUAUUUCAAUCUAUUGUAUGCUUCCUGUUUUCUGUGCAUGUAUAUACAAAUGUAAAUAUGUUGUCAUACAGAUGAAGUAUAUAUAUGAUAUGGAUAUAUAUAUGUAUAUACACAUAGUUUUAAUCAAUUUUUUCUUUAAUGAAAUUUAUUUAUUUAUUUUUAAUGAAAGAGUGCAACCCUCCAGUGGUUUUGUCUCCCUGUAUGGAGGUGAGUCAGCUUUGACAUGUUAAAAAUAGCAUGGACUUGGAGUCAGAGGGCUCUACCACUUACCACCUAUGUGACACUGGACAAGCUAUUCUCCAACCCUUGGUUAUCUCAUGUGAGGAUGAAACAAGAUAAUAUAUGUGAAAAAUGCCUUGUAAGCAAAGGCUCUGUUAAGAAUUACAACUCAGUCUUCUUAUAACAUGGACGAUAUAUUCUUAUAUAUGUAGUGUGUGUGUGUGUGUGUGUGUGUGUAGGUGUUUGUGUACUAAGAGAUCAGACUACAGAGAUUUCCUCAAUGGUCAAGCCAAAGGGUCUAGUUUUGCACUCCUAACCCAGGCAGAGCUUUUGUUGGUCAGUUGCAACUGUGGCUUUUUCCCAUUGUAAGUGGACUUCCUCUUGCUCUUUCUCUCCCUUUUUGCAAAUGAAUUUUGAGAUGUCCUUCUCUCCUAGGCCUGGCAGAAGUUGCUGCAUGAAAAGGAAGUCUGAUUUCAGGAAUAAUCUCUCUUUCCUCCACCCUUGUUUGACAUGUCUCACUGCCUUAGAAGAAGAAAGCACCACAGGCCACCAGGGGAAGUGUAGGGUAGGCCCAGAAUGGGAAGAGACUUUAGGGGCAGCUUGAAGCCAUCAUGGUUCCUUGCUGUCCCUAAGCGGGGAACACGUUUCAACUACAAGGACACAAAACAAUCAUGAUUCUCCUUCUCUACAGAUGGACAGUAGCACACACUCUCCAAUCAACAAGGAAUCUAUGAAAAUCUGAAUUUUCACAGAGUCUGGUGAAAUGAGUUUGACGGGGUUCAGGACACACUACCCCAGAACAUGGUAACUUGGUAUAUUGAAUAUUUUAAGCUGAAAGAGUUUGAGGAAAUGGCAGAAGAAGGAAGAUCUUUCUGACCUUCCCCUGCCUUCCUCUUCUGAAGCAGGUCAUAAAAUUCUGAUGUGAGGUGUCCUUCCUAUACCUGAAGGACAGGGGCAUCCUUAUAUCCAAAGACAGAGGGACACUGAGAGGAGUCUGAAUGAACAGAUGUUGAUAAGUUUCCCAUAGUUUACUACCCUUAGCUCAUACCCUUUUGUCCCUUUGCAUUUUUUCACAACUUUCCACUUUAUCAAAUCCAGCAUAAAAAUGCUCAGGUUUAAUUGCUUCUUUGGGUCCUCAUUUCCUUAUGAAGGCUCUCAUGUCACAUAAAACUUAUAUUAAAGAAAUGUGUAGGCUUUUAUCUUGUUAAUAUGUCUUUUGUUUCAGAUCCCAAGCCAAAAACCUAGAAGAGUAGAAGGAAAAAAAACUGGGGGGCUGAAAGGAAAGGAACACAAAAACAUCUGUUUGAAGGACAUAAUGAUUGAAAAUUUUCUGAUUUGAUGAAAACUAUAGACCAAUAGAUUCAAGAAACUCAAGAAACCCCAAAUACAAGAAACAUGAAGAAAACUACCUCUAAAACGCUUGAAGUUGAGCGAAUACGCAUUUAUUUACUCUAUAUAUGUAAGACUAGACAUGAAUUAAAAUAAAACAAAAUCUAUCCUCUGCUAACAGAGAAAGCCUUAGAGGCCCUCUGACUGUCUUCAUGGGUAUUGUGGAUGAGCCAAGGAAAUGCAAGACAGUUGUUGUCCUCAAGUAGGUUUUGAGCUACCUGAGCACACUUAUGUUGGAAAGACUAUUACUCAACUCCACAAUAUCCAUUCCCUCUUCUUGCAUUGCUGCCAGAACCCCAGUUGUGUCCAAAUAGCCACGUCUUUCCCACAUGACUCCAGAAGGAAAGACCAUAUCCCCAGACCCAGGAAUAGAUCCUGAUUUAUUCAGUCACGAAGAUCUGAUUCCCCUUGAUAGCAAUUCACAUGAAGGUGGCUAUAUGACCCGCAUGACAAGAGAUGUCGAGGGAAGUAUAUUGGAGGAUUUCUGAGAAAGAUUCUUUACUUCCAAAAGAGAUAAGAGGAAGAGACAAUCUCUUCUUCCUUUGGACACUGAUGUGCCUGAUGCCUGGAACUUCUGUACUCAAUCUGCAACUAAGUAAGGGCCAGUCUGAGGUCAGAGUCAAUAGCCUGAGAAUGAUGGAAAGAAUUUGGAUCUUUGAUGAUGCUGUUGAGCUGCUGAAUUAACCAACCAUGAAGCUCCUGUACCAGGGAACUUUUUCUUGUAUGAAAUAAUACAUUUUCUUAUUGUUUAAAUCAAUUCAAAUUGGUUUUUAUAUUCCUUGCAGCCCAAAAUAUUCUACCACCAAUAACUAAAUAUUUACAUAACUAAUUCUAUCACCUUGGGUGGAUAACUACUCUCCAGGCUUCACUUUCCUUUUUUUUUUUUUUAGUGAGGAAGAUUGGCCCUAAGUUAACAUCUGUUGCCAAUCUUCCACUUUUUGCUUAAGGAAGACUGUCACUGAGCUAACAUCCAUGGCAAUCUUCCUCUAUUUUGUAUGUGGGAUGCUGCCACAGUGUGGCUUGAUGAGCAGUGUGUAGGUCCGUGCCAGGAUCUGAACCCGCAAACUCUGGGCUGCUGAAGCAGGGUGCAUGAACUUAACCAUGACACAACUGGGCUAGCCCCCUAGGCCUCACUUUUUUCCCAUGGAAAGCGAAGAAUAUGGAUAAAACAAAUUCUACCGUUCCUUUUAGCCCUAACAAAUUCACCUUAAAUGUAACUGAUUAUUCUAGCAGUCAGUCAUAACUGUCAUGUGUGUGAUUCAGGUACUCUAUGACUCAGCAAUUCAUCUUCUAGGGAUAUGCCCUAGAGAAAUUAGUGCGUAUGUCUACCAAAAGACACUACAAGAAUAUGCGUAGAAGCUUUAUUCACAGUAGUCAAGAUCUAGAAACAAUCCUGUAUCAGAGUUCUCCAGAGAAACAGAACCAAUAGGAUAUAUAUAUAGAUAUAUUAAGAAAUUUAUUUUAAGAAAUUGACCCAUGAACUUGUGGAGGCUAGCAUGUCUGAAAUCCGUAGGGCAGGUCAGCAGGCUGGAAACUCAGGCCGGAGCUAAUGCUGCAGGCUUGAGGCAGAAUUUCUUCUCUGGGAAACCUCGGUUUUUGUUCACAAGCCCUUCAAUUGAUUGGAUAAGUGCCCCCCCCCCCGCCCCCCACUAUCAAGGGUCAUCUUCUUUACUUAAAGUCAACUGAUUGUAGAUGUUACCACAUCGACAAAAGACCUUCACGGCAACACCUCGCUUAGUGUUUGAUUAAAUAACUGGGUAAUAUAACCUAGCCAAGUGGAUACUUAAAACUAACCAUCACAAACUGAAUGUCCAUCCACAGGAGAAGGAAUAAAUAAAUUGUGGUAUCUUCAGGCAAAGGAAUGCUACAUAGCAAUAAAAAGAAUAAAAUGCUAAUAAACAACAACAUGGAUGAAUAUCAUGGACAAAUAUCACAGGGUGAAGAAGCCAGAUACAAAACUACAUACUAUAUGAUCCAUUUACAUAAAUUUUAAGAGUAGGCAAAAUUCACUGAUGGUAAUAGAAGGCUGAGGGGAGUUGUGGACUGGGAAGGGGCACAAGGAAAUCUUCUGAGUGCUGGAAAUGUUUGAUAUCUUGACCUGAUGGCUACACAGGUAAUACAUAUAUAAAAAUUCAUCAAGCUGUACACUAAAAUUCUACUUUAACACUUAAAAAUAAUAAUCAAAAAAAAAAAGAAAAAAGCGCUACGGGAAUCUAGAGUGAGAGAGACAAUUCUGGUCUAAAAUGACGAGAAGUCUUCAUGGAGACUGUGGGCUCGCGCUGGCCUUUGAAGGAUGAGUGGAAUCUCAGAGAUUAAGAGAGGAAUUAAACAAAGUUACGGCAGAGGAAAUGCAAAGACAUGCCAGAUGAUGAUGAUUUUUUUUUUCCCCUUAAGGAUGCCACUUUUACUCAGGAAACAGUGAAAUAAAUACCACACGUCAGACGUAAUGUAGACUAGCAGUUACGAGCACAGGCUUUGGGGCCAGGUAUUUGUGGGUUUGAAUCCUGCCUCUGAUGCUUGCUGGUUUGAAUAAGUGCUCUGGACGUGCUUUCUCAUUUGUGAAGUACUUCACACUCUAUGUACGUCCUAGGGUUGUGGAGAGAAUUAAACAGAAUAAUAUACGUGAUAUGCGUGGCACAGUGCUGUGCACACAGAGUGAGCCCUCAAUAAACAGGAGCCACUGCUACUACUACUUCUAUAACUGCCAUUCUGGGCCUUGUGGUCCCCUUCACUUGAGGGUGGUACUGCCCAAGGGAAGGGGAAUGGCCUCACGAUCUCUUCGGGUUCUUUCAAGCCCUCAGAUCUCUAAUUCCUAAUAAAAUCUAAAUGACCAAAUCAGAGCAGAUGAAUGACUAAGGUUUGACUCUUCCGAACCAUGUUGGUAUCAUUUCCCCCCCAUAGUCUAGUCCAUGAUCAUUCCUAAAUAUAAUCCUUGAUCAUGCCAGCAUACAUCUCUGUCCCAGAUAGGAAGAUGUAGGACAGCUCAUGCUCCAAAUGAUCUUACAUGUUGGUUGUCACACACACUGACGCACAGAGAAUCCUGAAGAACGUAUAAAAGUCCUUUACUUUGGGUGUACAUCAUACAUCCCAUCUCUUUAGAAACUACAAGGAGAGUUAGAGAUGUGGGAGUGCUCACAUGUUCUUUCCAGUAGUAACCAGUCCCCACCCUACUGCCGCUUAAUUGGUUUUCUCUUAAUUGAAGUAAAAUUUACAUGACAUAAAAUUAACCAUUUCAAAACGUACAAUUCAGUGGCAUCUAGUACAUUCACAGCGAGUGCAACCACCACCUCUGUCUCAUUCCAAAACAUUUCAUCUCCUCAAAGGGAAACUCUGUACCCAUCAAGCAGCCAUUCUCCAUUCCCUCUUUCCUCCUGACAACCACUGAUCUGUUUUUUGACUCUAUGGAUUUACCCAUUCUAGAUAUUUCAUAAAAAUGAGAUCAUACACUAUGUGACCCGCCACUUAGUUUUUGCAUUGGCCUUCUUGGCCGUGUUUAAAUAUUUGCUCCCUCGUGAUUGCCAGAGAAACUUCUUCACCCUUGAAUUGCCUCCUCAACAGCCCGUUAGGCCUUUCACCUCCUUUUGCUUUCAUCUCUAAGGUCUUACUUCCUCUUAGCUUAUCUGACCUUCAGUUCCAUGCGGUUUCACUCUAGAGCUGUGCUGUCCAGUACUAGCCACUAGCCACAUGAGGCUAUUUAAAUUAUGAAUUAAAACUAAAUAACAUUAAAAACUCAGUAUCUCAGUCACACAGCAACAUUUCAAGCGUCCAACAGACACACGUGGCUAGUGACUUCCAUAUGGGUCAGCACAGAUAAAGAACAUCACCAGCAUAGAAGAAAGUUCUAUUGAAUAGCACUGCUCUAGAGGGCACUGGAUCCUGGCAAGUGGAGAAUGGGAUUAGGGAAAGAGAACUUCACAGGGGUCUGCCUUCAGGGUAUGGGACCUCUAAAAUUAUUUGACCUUCUGCACUGCCCCGGACUCCUCCUGUAGAGUCACCCACUGUCUAUGUGAAUGCCACCCCCCCCCCUCCCCCGCAAAUUGUGCAGUGCACAGCCUAUACCCAGCCAUGCUAGAAGAAUGUCUGUCUCUGCCUGUCAUCCCAUCCUGUAGGCACCCAACUCCAUAAACAAAAGGGAAGGAGAAAAAAACCCUUCCCACCACAUCUGUUUGCUAUCUUAGUUUUUAAAUUCUCAAAUUAGACUAUAAACUCCUUGAGGGCAGCCCGCAUGUUUUCUUUACCCAUGUUCCCUACAUGAAAACAUCCAGCACACAGAUAUGCAUCCAGCAGGCAUACAGCCAAGAUUUGCAGAUUAACCAGUUGAUUGAAACAUUCAAUUUACAUGACAUAAAAUUAAAUAAAUUUUGCUUGAAAAUUAAAUAAUAAAUUUGGCUGACUCUGGGGGUAUCUGUACCCUAAGAUUCCUCUUGGUUGGGGGCGAGGGGUGCCCUCUCCAUACUGACCCUUGUUCUGCCCUCCAGUGAUGCACGCAGGACAGAGAGGGGCAAUGGGUGUUUGGCCUUGCACUUCGGAAUGUUCAUUACGGCCUCUCCUCUAAGCCUCUAACUAUUGCACUAUGCUCAUUCCACGACUAAAACAAUUAUCACUUGUAGUAGGAAGAUUUACUGCAUGUAAAAACAGUUACCUGCAUGUGUCUGCCUUCCCCAGCAGAGUGUGAAAACUUGAUGCAACACUAGCACAUUAGAAGGCAUUCAACAGUUCAGGGUAAAAAAUAAACAAACAUAAACAAACAUGUGAAUGAAAGAGAUCCUUUUCAGGUAGGAGGUAGAAACUGCAGCUAGAGAAAUGAAGGCAGCCAGAAUGGGGACACUCCAGGGCAGUGCAGAGAAGGAGGGGGCAGAGUCUGGGGCCUGGGCACAGUUGUCAUGUGUUCCAUUUCCUGUGCGACAGACUCCCUCUAACCUGGCCAGACCUGAUGCAAACCCUCCAUCCCUCCCUACUCCAGGGUGGAAAAGAACAUGUUUCUGCUUUCAGAUUUACUUGUUAGAAUCUUUGCCUCAGGAGGCAAAACAAAAUUAUAGCCAAGCCUACACGUCAAUGAGCUGUCUUGUGAUAGAAAACAUCAAACAACACUUUUGCACUUUGGAUUUUGAUCCACAAUAAAACUGUCCGCUAGAAACCAAUAUUGACUUCUCACCACCUCCAGGUCAGUAGAUCUUAAUGAAUCUUGAUGUGACCUCCUCUUUCUCAACUGCCUGUCACACCCAUGCAUAUGCAUUCCCCUUCAAACCCUUUCUAGGUGAUUAAUUAGAGAAUUUCCUCCUGUCCAUUAAAACACAGAUAGUAGCAUUUAGAUGUCUGGAGGCCAUGUUGUUCUUAGGGUAAUGGUAACGUCUGCUUUUAGCAGCUCUAGUGGCACUUGGCAGAAGCUCCCACGUUGCUUCAGUUCCAGGUAGAUCGUGUGCUUUGCUUAAGGCAGCCUCUGGCCACUGGGUAACAGGGAUGGGAGGAAUUCUCUAGGCUCGGACCCUGUAGCCUGGAAAGCAACUGGAGAAGUCACAUUGCACUGAUUUCACAUGUCCGUCGUCCCCCAGAUGUAUUCCUCCCUCCUUAUUGCCUAGUAAUUAGUACCUGAUCACGCUGGAAGUGCCAAGCACUAUGUCCUUUACCUGCGUGGUCUCACUUGUUCAUCUGGACAGAUCUAUGAUGUGGUACUACUACAACAAUCCCCAAUACCGACAAGAAUGUGAGCCAUGGAGAGGUUAGUUAAUUUACCCAAAUCCACAUGGAUAGUAGCUUGCUGAGUGUGACCUGAAACCAGUUCCGUCUGACCCCUAAAUCCUUGCUCUUAACCUCUGUGGCAUAAGGUCUACGCCAUGUUGCUUCUCAUGUUAGUUGAGUUCUUAAUAGUUUUAGUUUAAAGAUGAGGAAAACUGAGGCUUAGAGAAGGUAAGGAACUUAUUAUCCAGGUUCAUCCAGCUUAUAAGAGUGACGCUAGGGUUCAAACCUUGGCCCGGCUGACUGCAGCACCUAGCCAUAGUUGACUGGGAUUGCAUUUUCUGCCCACACCUUUGCUGACACUGGUCCCACCCCCAUCUUCCACCUAGUCCUCUCAGCUCUUAGCAAAACAUGUCCCCACUUCCCAUCCUUGAAUCCCAUUUUUUCUGCCUAAUAAAUAUUCUCCUUCUGGCCCUCCUCAAGACCUAUGUGCUCCAGGAACUCCCGAGAAGAGAGCUCUUAAAGCUCUACUUGUCUCAGCCAUCCACUGGUCAGGCCUCAAUACCACUGUGUGUCACCAUGUGGAUUUACGCUGUGUGCCAUGAGCACUGACAGUUGAGAUGUCUGAACUCCUGAGCUGGACCACGUGCUCCUUGGUCCUGUGCUUCUUUGCACCAUUCCCUGCACACCGUGCCUGGCACUCAGGAAGGGUGAACAUCUGAGGAUGGUUAGUUGAAAUGAUGUCGGGAAGUUCAGCAGGUAUUUAUUUAAUGUUCACUGUGUGCUGUCUGCUGUGCAAGGCUGUCUCACACAUGUCACCUCACUUAAGCCUAUUUACACUACUCUUGCAUGCUCACGCUAUAUUGAAUAGCUUCCAGGGAGGCAAGAUUCAGGUCUCUGGGGAGAGGAAGAGAGGAACUGGAAAGAGCAGAGCUACUUUUAAAGAGUCAUGAGAUAUCAUCACAAGGAUCCAAGCCUUCCAAGGUCACUGAAAGGCUCACUCAAGGAACGCUUCUUUCCAUUUGAGAUAAUAAUCAUGGUAAUAGUCACAGCUGGCCAUUUUUGAGAGCUUAUAAUGUGCUAACUCUUGUUCUUGGUGCUUUACAAAUAUUAACCAAAUAACCCUCACCAUACCUUAUGAGGAGGUAGGUCCUAUUCUUACUCCCACUUCACAAAUGAGGACUCUGAGGUACAGAUCUGGUAAGUGACUAACCCAGGAUCACACUAAUAAGUGGAGGAGAAGGGAUUUGAACCCACACACUCUGGCUUCAGAGCCUACAGGCUUAGCCGAGACGCUUGGCAGGAGCAGAGGGCACUGGUCAUCAGCGCAGAUGACUGGAAUCCAGUGGGAUGAAGGCUGGUUGGUGAUGAUCACCACACUGUGUUCUCCUAUGCAAUACUUACUAAGUGUUUUCUGUGCUGUUUCUGACACUGGGCCAGGUAUUGAGCAUAUGGGAUAAGUAGAAUCCAGUUCCUGACCUUGAGAGGCUCUCAGUCUCAAGUGCAGACAGCCCUGUAUAAGGGCUGUGAUGGCUGAGACGUGGGAGUCCAGGGGGGGAAGCCUCCCCUGCCCGGCAGGAUUUAUAGAGAGAGGAGGCAUUCAUCUGGCACUAGAAGAGUAAAAGUUGUGGUUCCAGCUUUGUCUCUUUGCCUCCCAGUUCUGUCCAGGAAAUACCUGAAGGUCAAGGACCGUGUUUUACUUAUCUUCAUGUUCCCAAGUGCCAGCACGAUGAAUGGUACAUAGUGUUCAAUAAAUGUACAUGGAAUAAAUGAAGGAGUAAACUGAGUAAACAGAAUUGAUUUUAAAGAACUCUAAUUUGGGAGCGGAAGCAGGUAAAACAAACUUUUAGGAGCUUUGGGUAGAAAUAAAAACCAGAGCGAGUGGUGCAGUAUGGGAAAAAAAUCCCUGAAUCCAACACUGCUGAGACUGGGCAAGUCUGCUGGAAUUCUCUGCUCUCUGUCCUGUCCCUCUCUGCUGUCUGGAAGGGCUGAGGGCAGAGUGGCUGAUCCCCGUAGGGUCCUCAGUGAUGCUGCCACUGUGUCUGGAACCUGGGCAGAAAGGCUGCUUCCCAGAGAAAGUUACUAGUGCGUGUAAUCAGGUAACAUACAUCACUCAAGGAAGCACUCCAAACCUGCGGAUUUCAUGCUGACUGGCAGCUUCCUGCACCUCCAGCUUCCAGCCAGCAGAGUGGGACCUGCAUGAUUUUAUCACCCAUCACAGGUCACCUUUGGGCCUCCUCAGAUUAUUCUCAAAGUGGAGAGGGAAUGAUGAAACCCCAAAGUCAAGCUCUCUGUUUUUAAUGUCACCUUUGCCACCAGCACCACCUAAGGGACUGGGAAAGACCUUUUUUUUUCUUUAAAAUUCAUUGAUUAUCAUUAUCUCAAAUUUUAAAACCUGGACUGAAAAAAAGAAAAAGAAAAACCUAAAUAUCUA